rnacentral:rRNA from 1 species
CCUACGGGAGGCAGCAGUGGGGAAUAUUGGUCAAUGGGCGUAAGCCUGAACCAGCCACGCCGCGUGAAGGAAGAAGGAUUUCUGGUUGUUAACCUCUUUUUAGAGGGGAGUACAGGUGACGGUACCUGUUUAUUUGGAUAUACCUAACUACGAGCCAGCAGCCGCGGUAAUACGGAGGUCGCAGGCGUUAUCCGGAUUUAGUGGGUGUAACGGGUGUGCAGCCGGGAAGGCAAGUCAGGGGUGAAAUUUCGCGGCUCAACCGUGGAACUGCAUUUGAAACUGGAAUUCUUGAGUACAGUAGAGGUAGGCGGAAUUCGUGGUGUAGCGGUGAAAUGCGUAGAUAUCAGGAAGAACACCGGUGGCGAAGGCGGAUGACUGGACGGCAACUGACGGUGAGGCGCGAAAGCGUGGGGAGCAAACAGGAUUAGAUACCCGGGUAGUC